CUAGUUAGUGCACAUAAAUGUACUUUUCACUUUUUAAAAUGCAUCCUUGGUGCUCAAGUCCAAUUCAGUGUUGUCUCUAAAAGCCAUUGUAUGCACAGGCUACUGCAUGCUUUGAUGUUAAAUGGCUGAACAGUCUAUUCUAAAAUUCAGUUGACACUUUUCUUACUACAGCAAAUUAGCUUGAAAAAAUAAUUAGUUCCAACUAUGAGCUCUGGUGUAUCUUUUCUGCCCCUUUUAUGGAGUCUUUGACCAAAUAUUUUCUAUGAUUAAUAAUGUAGGUAUAAAGCUACCUCUGAUACAGAAGUGUUCUUUAUAAGUUUAUUUUAGAUAUCGUGAAUCCCUUAACUGAAAGGAGAGGUGACAGGAAAGCCUAUUUGAAUGGAUGCUGAGGGAGAUUGUGCCCAUACCAAGACAGUCAGUAGAAGUAUUUCAGUAGCAGAACAAUGGAUUCAUGUUCUCAUUUUGCCUCACAAUAAAUGCCUGUCUCUUUGCAGGACCAAGAAUGACUUGCAAUCUAUCUGUAAUGCAUACUUACUUAUUCAAUAAAGCUAAGAUUACAC
rnacentral:lncRNA from 1 species